AAUAUAGCCUGUGCUGGAUGGAGAUGCACUGACCUUCCUUGCAAGAGCCUUUCCCUGAAGUUGGGCUCCUGAGAGAAGUUCUGAACAUGGCUAUCCCUGCCUUUUCAUCUUGUCAGCAGAUUUCUUCAGCAGCUGCUCUACAAAUAUGCAAUGGACCCUUUAAGCAUUUCUCCUUUACAGUGAGCACAAUGCUAAGCUUUGUCAGCAGAUGCCACUGGAGCAGCAUUGCAGAAGAAAGCGAGUUUCUCUUCCUGAUUUUGGUGUGCUACUUUUCUUCUUCUUGCUCCAGCUGCAUUAUCCAUCAGUGGUACUAUGUAUAAGACCAUCCCGCUGUGCCCUGCCCUACCACCUGCCCAGAGGCACAUCCCUCACUGACUAUUUGGCCUGAUUCUGAGCCUGUGGCCACCUUCUCACAGCCCUGCAACACAGGCACUGUGUGCUCCAGGCCUCACGUCCCCAGCAGUGGCCUGACUGUGCACUUAGCCACAGCCUCAGUUUGCCUGUGCUCCAAGAAAUUGCAUCCUAUUUGCCCAGCAGCUAUGGACCAGCUCCUGGUCCUGGAAAACAGCAGGCUUCUCUGACAUCUAGUGGACUGCAAACACACCUUCUCCAACAAGGCCUGACCCCAGCCUUAAGGAGAGAACCGUCUUUCCGAGUUGUCUUUCCUUGGGUACUCUCCCUCAAUCCUCGGAUACCCUUGAAAGUUCUCUUUACAUUGUUAUAGUUAUUCUUCUAUCACUGUCGAAUAAUUUUUUAUAUUAAACUUCUCUUGCUUUACAUUA